ACCGCAUACGUCCUACGGGAGAAAGCAGGGGACCUUCGGGCCUUGCGCUAUCAGAUGAGCCUAGGUCGGAUUAGCUAGUUGGUGAGGUAAUGGCUCACCAAGGCGACGAUCCGUAACUGGUCUGAGAGGAUGAUCAGUCACACUGGAACUGAGACACGGUCCAGACUCCUACGGGAGGCAGCAGUGGGGAAUAUUGGACAAUGGGCGAAAGCCUGAUCCAGCCAUGCCGCGUGUGUGAAGAAGGUCUUCGGAUUGUAAAGCACUUUAAGUUGGGAGGAAGGGUUGUAGAUUAAUACUCUGCAAUUUUGACGUUACCGACAGAAUAAGCACCGGCUAACUCUGUGCCAUCAGCCGCGGUAAUACAGAGGGUGCAAGCGUUAAUCGGAAUUACUGGGCGUAAAGCGCGCGUAGGUGGUUUGUUAAGUUGGAUGUGAAAGCCCCGGGCUCAACCUGGGAACUGCAUCCAAAACUGGCAAGCUAGAGUACGGUAGAGGGUGGUGGAAUUUCCUGUGUAUCGGUGAAAUGCGUAGAUAUAGGAAGGAACACCAGUGGCGAAGGCGACCACCUGGACUGAUACUGACACUGAGGUGCGAAAGCGUGGGGAGCACACAGGAUGAGAUACCCUGGUAGUCCACGCCGUACACGAUGUCAACUAGCCGUUGGANUCCUUGAGAUUUUAGUGGCGCACCUAACGCAUUAAGUUGACCGCCUGUGGAGUACGGCCGCAAGGUUAGAACUCAGGUGNAUUGACGGGGGCUCGCA
rnacentral:rRNA from 1 species